rnacentral:rRNA from 1 species
GAUGAACGCUGGCGGCGUGCCUAAUACAUGCAAGUCGAGCGAACGGACGAGAAGCUUGCUUUUCUGAUGUUAGCGGCGGACGGGUGAGUAACACGUGGAUAACCUACCUAUAAGACUGGGAUAACUUCGGGAAACCGGAGCUAAUACCGGAUAAUAUUUUGAACCGCAUGGUUCAAAAGUGAAAGACGGUCUUGCUGUCACUUAUAGAUGGAUCCGCGCUGCAUUAGCUAGUUGGUAAGGUAACGGCUUACCAAGGCAACGAUGCAUAGCCGACCUGAGAGGGUGAUCGGCCACACUGGAACUGAGACACGGUCCAGACUCCUACGGGAGGCAGCAGUAGGGAAUCUUCCGCAAUGGGCGAAAGCCCGACGGAGCAACGCCGCGUGAGUGAUGAAGGUCCUCGGAUCGUAAAACUCUGUUAUUAGGGAAGAACAUAUGUGUAAGUAACUGUGCACAUCUUGACGGUACCUAAUCAGAAAGCCACGGCUAACUACGUG